rnacentral:rRNA from 1 species
CACGUAGGGGGCGAGCGUUGUCCGGAUUUAUUGGGCGUAAAGAGCUCGUAGGCGGCUUGGUAAGUCAGGUGUGAAACCUCCAGGCUCAACCUGGAGACGCCACUUGAUACUGCCAUAGCUAGAGUCCGGUAGGGGAGCGUGGAAUUUCUGGUGUAGCGGUGGAAUGCGCAGAUAUCAGGAGGAACACCGAUGGCGAAGGCAGGUCUCUGGGCAGUUGACUGACGCUGAGGAGCGAAAGCAUGGGGAGCGAACAGG